AACAAUAAAUAAAGAAGAAGACGGGAUCAUGCGCAUAACUGGUGUAAGGAGCUAAUCAAUGCAGCAGCAGAAGGCUAGAGCAUUUCAAAGUGGCAAACUGAGUAAAUAAAGUCUUUUAAUCUGAUCUGUUUCAUCCUUUCAGCCGGAUUAAUCAUCCAUCAUCACAGCCGGCGGAAAACUGUUAUCUACAGAAGACGCCCUUGUUUUGAAAGAUGGCGUUUGGAAAUACUUUCAUUCCUUAUUGUGGAAAUUACUUGUGAAUAAACUGCAUUUUUAAAGAAGACCCGAGGUGGUAUA